GCACUGUUUCGGCAAGGGGGUCAUCCCGACUUACCAACCCGAUGCAAACUGCGAAUACCGGAGAAUGUUAUCACGGGAGACACACGGCGGGUGCUAACGUCCGUCGUGAAGAGGGAAACAACCCAGACCGCCAGCUAAGGUCCCAAAGUCAUGGUUAAGUGGGAAACGAUGUGGGAAGGCCCAGACAGCCAGGAUGUUGGCUUAGAAGCAGCCAUCAUUUAAAGAAAGCGUAAUAGCUCACUGGUCGAGUCGGCCUGCGCGGAAGAUGUAACGGGGCUAAACCAUGCACCGAAGCUGCGGCAGCGACGCUGAUGCGUUGUUGGGUAGGGGAGCGUUCUGUAAGCCUGUGAAGGUGUGCUGUGAGGCAUGCUGGAGGUAUCAGAAGUGCGAAUGCUGACAUAAGUAACGAUAAAGCGGGUGAAAAGCCCGCUCGCCGGAAGACCAAGGGUUCCUGUCCAACGUUAAUCGGGGCAGGGUGAGUCGACCCCUAAGGCGAGGCCGAAAGGCGUAGUCGAUGGGAAACAGGUUAAUAUUCCUGUACUUGGUGUUACUGCGAAGGGGGGACGGAGAAGGCUAUGUUGGCCGGGCGACGGUUGUCCCGGUUUAAGCGUGUAGGCUGGUUUUCCAGGCAAAUCCGGAAAAUCAAGGCUGAGGCGUGAUGACGAGGCACUACGGUGCUGAAGCAACAAAUGCCCUGCUUCCAGGAAAAGCCUCUAAGCAUCAGGUAACAUCAAAUCGUACCCCAAACCGACACAGGUGGUCAGGUAGAGAAUACCAAGGCGCUUGAGAGAACUCGGGUGAAGGAACUAGGCAAAAUGGUGCCGUAACUUCGGGAGAAGGCACGCUGAUAUGUAGGUGAAGCGACUUGCUCGUGGAGCUGAAAUCAGUCGAAGAUACCAGCUGGCUGCAACUGUUUAUUAAAAACACAGCACUGUGCAAACACGAAAGUGGACGUAUACGGUGUGACGCCUGCCCGGUGCCGGAAGGUUAAUUGAUGGGGUUAGCGCAAGCGAAGCUCUUGAUCGAAGCCCCGGUAAACGGCGGCCGUAACUAUAACGGUCCUAAGGUAGCGAAAUUCCUUGUCGGGUAAGUUCCGACCUGCACGAAUGGCGUAAUGAUGGCCAGGCUGUCUCCACCCGAGACUCAGUGAAAUUGAACUCGCUGUGAAGAUGCAGUGUACCCGCGGCAAGACGGAAAGACCCCGUGAACCUUUACUAUAGCUUGACACUGAACAUUGAGCCUUGAUGUGUAGGAUAGGUGGGAGGCUUUGAAGUGUGGACGCCAGUCUGCAUGGAGCCGACCUUGAAAUACCACCCUUUAAUGUUUGAUGUUCUAACGUGGACCCGUGAUCCGGGUUGCGGACAGUGUCUGGUGGGUAGUUUGACUGGGGCGGUCUCCUCCUAAAGAGUAACGGAGGAGCACGAAGGUUGGCUAAUCCUGGUCGGACAUCAGGAGGUUAGUGCAAUGGCAUAAGCCAGCUUGACUGCGAGCGUGACGGCGCGAGCAGGUGCGAAAGCAGGUCAUAGUGAUCCGGUGGUUCUGAAUGGAAGGGCCAUCGCUCAACGGAUAAAAGGUACUCCGGGGAUAACAGGCUGAUACCGCCC
rnacentral:rRNA from 1 species